rnacentral:rRNA from 1 species
GACGAACGCUGGCGGCGUGCCUAAUACAUGCAAGUCGAACGCAGUGGGGACGGGUGAGUAACACGUGGGUAACCUCCCAUCAGAGGGGAUAAAACUUGGAAACAGGUGCUAAACCGAUACUGAUGGAUGGACCCGAGGUGCAUUAGCUAGUUGGUGGGGUAACGGCUCACCAAGGCCACGAUGCAUAGCCGACCUGCGAGGGGGAUCGGCAACACUGCGACUGAGACACGGCCCAGAAUCCUACGGUAGGCAGCAGUAGGGACUCUUCGGCAAUGGACGAAAGUCUGACCGAGCAACCCCGCGGUAGUGAAGAAGGUUUGCGGAUCGUAAAACUCUGUUGUUAGAGCAGCGGUAUCUAACCAGAAAGCCACGGCUAACUCCGUGCCAGCAGCCGCGGUAAUAC